rnacentral:rRNA from 1 species
UACGUAGGGUGCAAGCGUUGUCCGGAAUUAUUGGGCGUAAAGAGCUUGUAGGCGGUUUGUCGCGUCUGCUGUGAAAUUUCGGGGCUCAACCCCGAACUUGCAGUGGGUACGGGCAGACUAGAGUGUGGUAGGGGAGACUGGAAUUCCUGGUGUAGCGGUGAAAUGCGCAGAUAUCAGGAGGAACACCGAUGGCGAAGGCAGGUCUCUGGGCCAUAACUGACGCUGAGAAGCGAAAGCAUGGGGAGCAAAAGGG